AGAGCGAACGCUGGCGGCAUGCUUAACACAUGCAAGUCUCACGGGCAGCAAUGUCAGUGGCGGACGGGUGAGUAACGCGUAGGUAUCUAUCCAUGGGUGGGGGAUAACGUCGGGAAACUGACGCUAAUACCGCAUGACAUCUGAGGAUCAAAGGCGCGAGUCGCCUGUGGAGGAGCCUGCGUACGAUUAGCUAGUUGGUGGGGUAAAGGCCUACCAAGGCGACGAUCGUUAGCUGGUCUGAGAGGAUGAUCAGCCACACUGGGACUGAGACACGGCCCAGACUCCUACGGGAGGCAGCAGUGGGGAAUAUUGGACAAUGGGCGAAAGCCUGAUCCAGCAAUGCCGCGUGUGUGAAGAAGGUCUUCGGAUUGUAAAGCACUUUCGGCGGGGACGAUGAUGACGGUACCCGCAGAAGAACGCCCCGGCUAACUUCGUGCCAGCAGCCGC
rnacentral:rRNA from 1 species